GCGGUUUCCUAGAAAAAGUUCUACUUGGGGUCAAAAUACGGGUCGUCGCUACGGGAAUUUUGAUGGCCUUUAUCUUUUACGUGAUGUCGCAAAUGGAACAUCCGACUCUUGUCCCUAUAUUCACUAUUGUUGGGGGAAUCGAGACUCCUAAACUGGAUCCGGGGUCACUACCUGCC